GACGAACCGAGCGAACGUUGUUCGGAAUCACUGGGCUUAAAGGGCGCGUAGGCGGGUGCUCAAGUCCGUGGUGAAAUCCUCCGGCUCAACCGGAGAACUGCCUCGGAUACUGGGUGCCUCGAGGGUGGUAGGGGUAUGCGGAACUAUCGGUGGAGCGGUGAAAUGCGUUGAUAUCGCUAGGAACUCCGGUGGCGAAGGCGAGGUGCUGGACCCUUUCUGACGCUGAGGCGCGAAAGCCAGGGGAGCGAACGGG
rnacentral:rRNA from 1 species